GGAGGGUGCAAGCGUUAAUCGGAAUUACUGGGCGUAAAGGGUGCGUAGGUGGCUUGAUAAGUCAGGUGUGAAAUCCCAGAGCUUAACUUUGGAAUUGCGCUUGAAACUGUCAGGCUAGAGUACUGUAGAGGGUAGUGGAAUUUCCGGUGUAGCGGUGAAAUGCGUAGAUAUCGGAAGGAACACCAGUGGCGAAGGCGGCUACCUGGACAGACACUGACACUGAGGCACGAAAGCGUGGGUAGCGAACAGGAUUAGAUACCCUGGUAGUCCAUGCCGUAAACGAUGAGAACUAGCUGUUUGUCUCUUUGGAGAUGAGUAGCGAAGCAAACGCGUUAAGUUCUCCGCCUGGGAGUACGGCCGCAAGGCUA
rnacentral:rRNA from 1 species